AUAAGCCGGGAAUGGAAAGACCGGUACAAGCGGGGUAGGUGUGUGACAGGCAAAUCCGUCACAUAAGCCGAAGACGUGAUGUGGAGCGAAAUUAAGUAGUGAAGUAUGUGAGCCAUGUGCCGAGAAAAGCCGCUAUUGUUUUAUAUGUGCCCGUACCGUAAACCGACACAGGUGGAUGAGGAGAGAAUCCUAAGGCCGACGGAAGAAGCAUUGUUAAGGAAUUCGGCAAAAUGACCCCGUAACUUCGGGAGAAGGGGUGCCCACUGAAUGGUGGGCCGCAGAGAAUAGGCUCAAGCAACUGUUUAGCAAAAACACAGGUCUAUGCGAAACCGAAAGGUGAAGUAUAUGGGCUGACGCCUGCCCGGUGCUGGAAGGUUAAGAGGAGAGGUUAGCGCAAGCGAAGCUUUGAAUUUAGGCCCCAGUAAACGGCGGCCGUAACGAUAACGGUCCUAAGGUAGCGAAAUUCCUUGUCGGGUAAGUUCCGACCCGCACGAAAGGCGUAAUGAUUUGAGCACUGUCUCGACAAUGCAUCCGGUGAAAUUGAAGUACCAGUGAAGAUGCUGGUUACCCGCGCCAGGACGGAAAGACCCCAUGGAGCUUUACUCCAGUUUGAUACUGGGAUUCGGUACUGCACGUACAGGAUAGGUGGGAGACUGAGAACUAUGGACGCCAGUCUGUAGGGAGUCGCUGUUGGGAUACCACCCCUGUAGUACUGGGUUUCUAACCAUCUGCCGUGAUCCGGCAGUGGGACAAUGUCAGGCGGGGAGUUUGACUGGGGCGGUCGCCUCCGAAAGGGUAUCGGAGGCGCUCAAAGGUUCCCUCAGAAUGGUCGGAAACCAUUUGAAGAGUGCAAAGGCAGAAGGGAGCUUGACUGCGACACCGACGGGUGGAGCAGGUACGAAAGUAGGACUUAGUGAUCCGGUGGUAUAAAGUGGGAUUGCCAUCGCUCAACGGAUAAAAGCUACCCUGGGAUAACAGGCUUAUCACUCCCAAGAGUUCACAUCGACGGAGUGGUUUGGCACCUCGAUGUCGGCUCAUCGCAUCCUGGGGCUGUAGCAGGUCCCAAGGGUUGGGCUGUUCGCCCAUUAAAGCGGUACGCGAGCUGGGUUCAGAACGUCGUGAGACAGUUCGGUCCCUAUCCGGCGCGGGCGGAGGAUAUUUGAGAGGAGCUGUCCUUAGUACGAGAGGACCGGGAUGGACGGACCACUGGUGUAUCUGUUGUCGACCAACGGCAUGGCAGAGUAGCCAAGUCUGGAAGGGAUAAACGCUGAAGGCAUCUAAGCGUGAAGCCCCCCUCAAGAUGAGAUAUCCCUCCUUCGGGAGUAAGACCCCUUGAAGACUACAAGGUAGAUAGGGCAGAGGUGGAAGUGUGGCAACACAUGGAGCUGACUGUUACUAAUAGGUCGAGGGCUUGAUAG
rnacentral:rRNA from 1 species